AAAGAUUUAGUUAAAAUUAUAACAUUAGAAUGUCAAACUAAAAUUGUUCAAAACAAUCUUUU
rnacentral:tRNA from 1 species